rnacentral:rRNA from 1 species
GAGUUUGAUCCUGGCUCAGGACGAACGCUGGCGGCGUGCUUAACACAUGCAAGUCGAACGCUGAAGCACUGUGCUUGCACGGUGUGGAUGAGUGGCGAACGGGUGAGUAACACGUGAGUAACCUGCCCCUGACUUCGGGAUAAGCUUGGGAAACUGGGUCUAAUACCGGAUGUGACUACUGGCCGCAUGGUCUGGUGGUGGAAAGGGUUUUACUGGUUGGGGAUGGACUCGCGGCCUAUCAGUGUUGUUGGUGGGGUAGUGGCCUACCAAGACGACGACGGGUAGCCGGCCUGAGAGGGCGACCGGCCACACUGGGACUGAGACACGGCCCAGACUCCUACGGGAGGCAGCAGUNGGGAAUAUUGCACAAUGGGGGGAACCCUGAUGCAGCGACGCCGCGUGCGGGAUGACGGCCUUCGGUUGUAAACCGCUUUCAGUAGGGAAGAAGCGAAAGUGACGGUACCUGCAGAAGAAGUACCGGCUAACUACGUGCCAGCAGCCGCGGUAAUACGUAGGGUACAAGCGUUGUCCGGAAUUAUUGGCGUAAAGAGCUCGUAGGUGGUUGGUCGCGUCUGCUGUGGAAACG